rnacentral:rRNA from 1 species
AGUGAACGCUGGCGGCAGGCCUAAUACAUGCAAGUCGAACGGCAGCACAGCAGAGCUUGCUCUGUGGGUGGCGAGUGGCGGACGGGUGAGGAAUACGUGGGAAUCUGCCCAGUCGUGGGGGAUAACGUAGGGAAACUUACGCUAAUACCGCAUGCGCCCUUCGGGGGAAAGCCGGGGGACCUUCGGGCCUGGCGCGAUUGGAUGAGCCCACGUCGGAUUAGCUAGUUGGCGGGGUAAAGGCCCACCAAGGCGACGAUCCGUAGCUGGUCUGAGAGGAUGAUCAGCCACACUGGAACUGAGACACGGUCCAGACUCCUACGGGAGGCAGCAGUAGGGAAUAUUGGACAAUGGGCGCAAGCCUGAUCCAGCCAUGCCGCGUGAGUGAAGAAGGCCCUCGGGUUGUAAAGCUCUUUUGUCCGGAAAGAAAGCGCCGGGUUAAUACCCGUGGUGUCCUGACGGUACCGAAGAAUAAGCACCGGCUAACUUCGUGCCAGCAGCCGCGGUAAU